AUUGAACGCUGGCGGCAGGCCUAACACAUGCAAGUCGAGCGAGCGGCGGACGGGGGAGUAAUGUCUGGGAAAAUGCCUGAUGGAGGGGGAUAGCUACUGGAAACGGUAGCUAAUACCGCAUACCAUCAGAUGUGCCCAGAUGGGAUUAGCUAGUGGGUGGGGUAACGGCUCACCUAGGCGACGAUCCCUAGCUGGUCUGAGAGGAUGACCAGCCACACUGGAACUGAGACACGGUCCAGACUCCUACGGGAGGCAGCAGUGGGGAAUAUUGGACAAUGGGCGAAAGCCUGAUACAGCCAUGCCGCGUGUGUGAAGAAGGCCUUCGGGUUGUAAAGCACUUUCAGCGGGGAGGCGUUACCCGCAGAAGAAGCACCGGCUAACUCCGUGCCAGCAGCCGCGGUAAUAC
rnacentral:rRNA from 1 species